AAGUUUGUUACUGUGAGGGUAGUCAAUAAGACUCUCCUCCUAACCACAUGGGAGCCAGUCUUCUCCUAGCUGCCUUUGGAUCAAGAGGUGGAACUCUCAGCUUUUCUAGCCCAAUGUCUGCCUGGACCCUGCCAUGCUCCUGCCUUGAUGAUAAUGGACUGACCCUCUGAAACUAAAGCACCAAAUGAUAUAUUUCCAGCUACCUGAUGGCUGGAUUUUCAGCAACAGCCCUGUACAUCAAUUAUAUUCCACUGGAUGAUCUCACAGUGAGGAGUGUUUGGGCAGCAUAGAUGGGCUCAGAAGCAACAAAAGCACCCGGAAGAGUUAUACCAUCCAACCAUCAAGCAAACAAGCACGGAGUUCCGGCCUCUCACAGAGCUGCUGCUGUUUCUGAUACAUAAGGUCCUAGGUGGUACUGUUGGUCUGGAGGAAAUUCAAUUCUACCCAGAUGCAACAUUUGGAAACUGGCAGUUCGGCAUUGCCAUGUUCUAUCAGCAAGGGGAGUGGUCCAGAUGGCGCCUUUCCAUUUCCACGAUGUGCCAGCACCGGCAGGGCAUCCAGCUGUCUGCACCACCCCCCACAACAGCUCCAAGAUUACAUGGAGGAAGAACAUAUUGCUUGAGUUAAGUUGGAGACCCUUAGGAAAUUUCAUCCCUCGAGGCUCCGACUUUGUAAAGUUUCUUUCCUGAAGGAAGCAGAUGGGGCUGCCUGACCAUGACUUUUAUCUGGUGUUAUAGAGUAAGCCGUCUCAAGGCUUCCUGCAUCAUCCUAGAGACAGGCCACAGACUCCAGUGCUGGAAAGGACCAGGCAACAUCUGCAGACCUUCUGCUAAAGGCUCUGCUUGUUAAAACAUCCUGUUCCUUGCUAUUUAUCUUUUUAGAAAUUAUGGAGAUGUUAAUCCCUUUUCCCAAAUGAGAUUAAAAUUUACAU